GCUGGAGAGCUUCAAUGUUGGGAUUCUCAGACAGGAAAGCCAUCAGGCAGUCCACUUGUGGGCCACAAACAAUGGAUUACUGCUAUCUCUUGGGAACCGGUCCACUUGAAUGCCCCAUGUCGUCGGUUUGUCAGUGCUAGCGGAGAUCGUGAUGCACGCAUAUGGGAUGUUUUAUUAAGGAAAUGUGUUAUCUGUCUUACUGGUCAUAAAGGUGGAAUAACUUGUGUGAAAUGGGG
rnacentral:misc_RNA from 1 species